UGUGCAGGCGGGCCUGUGCGUCAGGGGUUAAAUACUUCGGCUUAACCGAAGAACAGCCCUUGAUACGGCAGGUCUUGAGUGCGAGAGAGGAUAGUAGAAUUCCUGGUGUAGCGGUGAAAUGCGUAGAUAUCAGGAGGAAUACCAGUGGCGAAGGCGGCUAUCUGGCUCGUUACUGACGCUCAGGCACGAAAGCGUGGGGAGCAAACA
rnacentral:rRNA from 1 species